AGGAAACAGUAUUAUUCACAGGUCACAGUUGAGGAAACUGAGGCACAGGAAGCACAAGUAACUCACCUGCAUUUACACACAGAGCCGAGUGCAAGAACCCAUGUGGAUUUGGAUUCAACUGAACUGUGUCUAUCCUACCGGCGCCCACCCCCUGCGCAGAACCUUCCCUGACCUCCCUGGAAUUGAUGCUUCAGUCCCACAAAAGAUCUGGGAUGAUGGUCACGUUGAUGAGGCUAAAUAAAUAGAAAUUCGUCACUUCGUUAUUCAGUCAGCCAACUGCACCAGCCACUUUUCCAACAUUGGGAGAAGACUGAUGAGUAAAUGCAUUCCCUACCCUCAGGAGCUCAUGGAGAAUAGAGGAAACAGACAUAUAACGCACGGGUAUAAAAGAAAGGGACAGUGUG